rnacentral:lncRNA from 1 species
AUAUAUAUUGACUUUUAUAUAUAUUUGGUAAUGAUAUAAUUAUUUCAUCUCUUUAUCUUUGUAGGUUUAGAUGUCUUUCACUUGGAAAUCAUGAAGGUCUGAUAUCCAUUGCUCUUAUAAAAUGCAUAGAACUAUAAACCAGCUUACUACAAGAAGAUUUAUUUUUCCCUCAUGGUCUCAGUUUAUCAUCUCUUGGCCUGUGGUGGGAAGCCAUGGGGAAGAUGAUGUAAUUGAACAUAGAUGCUCAUAUCCCUGUGAUCAAGAGUUGAGGGAAUGUGCUGGAGACAGCAACAUCCUUCAGGAUUUGAUCACUGUUCAAGACACAUAUGUUGAUAUAUGAAGUUAUGAAACUGUAUAAUAUUUUGAUUACCAAAAUUGAAACAAUGAAUAUACAAUGAACUCAAGAAGCUAGCCACUAACACACCAAACAAUUAAAUUAAAAAGUGGGGUGCAGAACUAAAUAGAAAUUCUCAACAGAGGAAUCUGAAAUGGCUGAAAGACACUUAAGAAAGGGCUCAAAAUCCUUGGCCAUCAGAGAAAUGAAACUCAAAACAACUCUGAGAUACCACCUCACACCUGUCAGAAUGGCUAAAAUCAAAAACAUCAAGGACAAUCUAUGCUGGAGAGGAGGUGGAGAAAAAGGAACACUACUCUAUUGCUAGUGGGAGUGAGAACUUGUAAGACCACUCUGGAAAUCAGUAUGACGGUUGCUCAGAAAAAUGGGAAACAGUCUACCUCAAGAUCCAGCAAUUCCUCUCUUGGGUAUAUACCCACAUAAUGCACAUUCAUACAACAAGGACACAUGUCCAAUCCCGUUCAUAGAAGCAUUGUUUGUAAUAGCCAGAACCUGGAAGCAACCUAGAUGCCCUCCAACUGAAGAAUGGUAGAGAAAAUGUGGUACAUUUAUACAAUGUAGUACUACUCAGCAGAAAAAAGCAAUGGAAUCUUGAAAUUUGCAGGCAAAUGGAUGGAACUAGAAGAAACAAUCCAGAGUGAGGUAACCCAGUCACAAAAAGUCAAACAUGGAAUGUACUCACUCAUAUGUGAAUUUUAUACAUAAAGCAAAGGAUUACCAGCCUACAAUCCUCUUCGGCAAAGAAAUUAGGAAAAAUGAAAGACUCUAGGGGAUAAAUGCAUGGACCUCAGGAAUGGGAAGGGGCAGGAACUCCUGAGCUAAUUGGGAGCAUGAGGGUAGGGGAAAGGGAACUGCCAGAAUGUGAACAGGAGAAGUGGAGAGGAGAGGAGGAAAUGGAGGAGCAGAAAUAUUGAGUUGGCAGAAGAAUAGAAGAGAGCAGGAUACCAUAUUAUAGGAAGCCAUUUUAGGUCCAAGGAGAGAUCUG